UAGGGAAUCUUCGGCAAUGGGGCAACCCUGACCGAGCAACGCCGCGUGAGUGAAGAAGGUUUUCGGAUCGUAAAGCUCUGUUGUAAGUCAAGAACGAGUGUGAGAGUGGAAAGUUCACACUGUGACGGUAGCUUACCAGAAAGGGACGGCUAACUACGUGCCAGCAGCCGCGGUAAUACGUAGGUCCCGAGCGUUGUCCGGAUUUAUUGGGCGUAAAGCGAGCGCAGGCGGUUUGAUAAGUCUGAAGUUAAAGGCUGUGGCUCAACCAUAGUUCGCUUUGGAAACUGUCAAACUUGAGUGCAGAAGGGGAGAGUGGAAUUCCAUGUGUAGCGGUGAAAUGCGUAGAUAUAUGGAGGAACACCGGUGGCGAAAGCGGCUCUCUGGUCUGUAACUGACGCUGAGGCUCGAAAGCGUGGGGAGCGAACAGGAUUAGAUACCCUGGUAGUCCACGCCGUAAACGAUGAGUGCUAGGUGUUGGAUCCUUUCCGGGAUUCAGUGCCGCAGCUAACGCAUUAAGCACUCCGCCUGGGGAGUACGACCGCAAGGUU
rnacentral:rRNA from 1 species